rnacentral:lncRNA from 1 species
AAAGAAAGAAAGAAAGAAAACCUUUCUCUUCUGCUUAGGAUACACAGAUCCAAAAUGCGUUCAUUGUCUGCUCAACUUCUCUGUUUUGGUCUGGCACAGUGCUACAGCUCCCAGCAAAAGGCUUAGCUUUCUAAGCUUGCCAAAUGAAUGCUGAUGGAUGAAUGUAUGAAAAGGUGCCAAAUGAAUGCUGAUGCAUGAGCGUCUGGCCCUCUUACCUAGACUAAGCAGGGAGAAGCAUGAGCUGAAUGUCCCCUCAAAAAUAGAAAACCUGUGAACAGAUGAAAGAAAUAGAAAAGAAACAGAUAACUGAAUUUUUACCUCUACCUCCAUUUUUCUGUAGGCCUAAACUCCUUCUGCCAAUGCUUACUUUGGGUGCCUUAAAGAACAAGAAUCUACACAGCACGCACCUACAGGGAAUCUCUGUGAAGAUUGCCGCACCGGCUUAGGUUGUAUAUUGCUUGGUAAGACAUGGCUGAAUAUUUUCUGUCAACUCACUAUGCUACACUUAGCAUGGAAGACAAUAUUCCCAGUUCCAUAAUUCCCUCACACUAGCAUUCUGAAUACUGCGGUUUUUUAACUUAUGCUAAUAUAAUGUGUAAGGAAAAAAAAAAUAAAGGCUACAAACCCUGUGAUCAGCAGCAUUUUUAUAACAUCUUUUACCUGUUGUGGUAAAACCUUCAUGUUUCGUGAAGACCCAUGGACUAUGAAGGGGUCUACACAGCUCUGCAAAGGUGAGAGAGAAGACAAUUUUUUUGACUGUGUGGAUCCCUCCAAUUCAGUCUUCUCUUUAGAAAUGGAAAUAUUGAGGAACUGGUCUUUUCUUGGUUCUUAUAUCUUUAUUCUUUCACCCCUAAUUCCCUCAAAUGUUCCUUCCAACACACUCAGACACACGCAUUCACACACACUCAAAGUCACACUCACAUAUGCAUGAGAAAGAAGGUAAGUUUUGUCACAAGUAUCAAAGACCCAAAAUCAUUGUGCCUUAGAGGAGAUCGAAGUUUGUUUUUCUCUAGGGUAAAAACCUGGAUGUGGGCAAAUCAAGCUGUGCUCCACAAAGUGGAGUUGCCACCUUGCUACUCCACCCCGUGUGCACCCAUUCCCAAGGGCGCGACUCCAGCCACCUUAUCUGCAGAGCAGCCAGCAGGAAGGGCACAGGCAGGAGGACGGGGAAAGGGCAGGGAACCAAGCAUCUGUCCUCCAAGGAAAUUUCCUAGGGCUUCACAAGGCACAUCUACUGACGCUCUUGGCCUGAAUCUAAUAACAAGACCACGCUCAGCCUCAGUGGAAGCUCAGAAACGUCAUUUUGACUUUUCACAGUGUGUUCCCAACUGAUACAGUUAGGUGUUAUCACUGACAACAGAGGGGAGAAUGAAUACCAGCGGACAACUAACAACCGCCAUGGGGGGGUCCUCCUACCAUCCCUCCGGUGAUAUAACGUGGGCGGUUCCAUUCUCAGAGGUUUCCGGCACAUUC